UCUGUUUGCUCUCCCUGAGUAGCUGCUUCUGAUUUUCUGUUGUUCAAGUCAAAUGACAGGCAAGUUAGUUGUGCAGAAUAUGAAUUUAAAAAUAAUGCAGAUAAAAUUCACACUGCCUACAGUCCUAAAAUACUCUAAAAUUUCUGUAUGUAUUUUCUGUUUAAAAGUGUACAUAUUAUCCAUUCCCUUUAAUAUAUUUCUGAUUAAAUGUUAUGAGACAAGAGGCUGACUACAGUUUGAGUGUCAAAAUGCUUCAGGACUUUAUUCAAAUCUUAAAACUCUAAAUGAUGAAGUUUUCAGGGAUUUCACAGCAUAGAAAAAAUGUCUUGUAUUCUGUUUUGCUAAUGCCCAUCAUGGCAAUGCAUCAUCUAUUUUUUUUUCUUCAGGUGGUGCUGGUUCUUGGGAUCAAAUAGAGUGGCAGUUAGGGAUCUUGGUACCUAUGGAAAAAGAUUAAGCUCUUUCCAUCCUAAUGAAGCAGAGAAGAAAGGAUAUAUUUAUCCUUCUGUGCUGACUUGUGAGGAAAGGAACUUCUAUACGUGGAUUUUUUUUUUAGAGUAACCUGAAGCAUUCAAGUGGGCAUUAAGUCUGUUUGAGCAUAAAUGCCCCAAAGAAUUCCAGCCACCACCUUUUUAAGGCCAGAAAGAUCCUGAGAAGCCUUUCACAACUCCCUGGACAUGAACUGGGAUCCCCUUGUUUGUGUUUGCCUCUGACCUUCAGAACAGAAGGGGAAGGAAGUGCUGUGAUAAAACUUGUCUGUGUAGUUAAGGACUCUGCCCCUCCACGUGUGCAAAGGGACGACACUUCAUUUUUUGUCUAUGACUUUUUCAGUCUUGAGUGCCUAACUGUGCAAACUUCAUGGAGUUGUUCUUACAUAGUUAUUUUUUGAGUACCAUAGGGAAAAUUGAUACCCUUUGUAUAAGGAACAUAACUAUAGCAUAAGAAGCUAUACAGAGCCUUCAAUUUAUGAACUUUAGUAUUAAUUUUAAACACUUUACAAAAAAUGCAGAGUAUGGAAAUGAAAUAAGGGAUGCCGGAGGUGUUAUUAUAUUAAUAGUGUAAUUUGAUUGAACGUCAAUGACUCAGGAGAUCUUUUGUCUACUGAACAAAAAAAAGAGAAAUCUUGAUCUGAUUUUCAACAAAGUUCUUGAGAUGUGCAUCCAGAAGAUUACUCUGCAGUAUUCUGUUAUCAUCUCACUUAAGCAUGCUUACUGGUUUGAUGUUCAUAAUUAAGUGCUUAAAAUAUUUUUAAUGACAGAGCUGUCUACAUUAAGGGGCCAAAGUAUCUGAAAAUAUUGUCAAGAACUUUGGUAUUUACACCUGUGUUAACUCUGCAAUUUUUUUUUAUCUGAAACACAAUAUAUUUCUUUCUGUUUUUAUAGAAGAGUAGUGGCAUAUCAGUUGCCUGCAAAGAGCUAUGGGGACUAUGUAAGUGAGGGAUUUUGUGUCAGGUGGGCUCCUACUCUCUCUAAUCCUUGUUUUACAGCUUUAUCAACAGAAUUACACCCAUGAGAUACUUCAGCUUUAACUAACAAAUUCUCUAUGUAAAAUGUGACAGUGCAUCAUUCUUUUCAUGGAGGAAUUGUUUCUUCUGAUUUUGCAAGUACUGAAAAGAAGGAUUUCUUGCAGGGCAAUCAUACAGCGUAGCGUCCCACUGAGAUGUGCAAGGAUCAAGUGGGUGCACUGUAUGCAUUUUUGUUACAGAAUCAUGGCCUUAGCAACCAGAAGCACCCCGUGCUUGAAGCUUCUAAGUAUUGGUUUACAGUGUAUGUAUAGUAUAUAUAUAUGUGUGCUGAAAUGAUUGUAUUCUCAUAGAUGCCAGUACAUAGUUGUUUAACCAUUACUUCAGGAACUGAGGGUAUGCAAAGAAAGUCAAGUAAUUUGCUUACUGUUAAAUUUCUUUUUGUGUUGCUAUAUGCUCAAGUAUUCAGGGAUUUCUGUGUACUUAUUACAAUAGUGUAUUUUGGCCCAGUGUUAGACUAGAAUCUGUGCUGUUCAUAUGUUAAUUGGACAGAACCUUCCAUGUGAGGUUCUUUCCAAGUAAGUACAUCUGAGUAGCCUCUGGUACUGUUAGGUGGGAGUAGUGUGUACAUGCACAUACCUGUGAAUUUGAUGUUAGGGAUCUUAUGGUGAGGGGAUAUGAAUGUGCAACUCGAAACAAUGAGUACACAGAUGAGUACACACAAGGCGAUCAUACAAAUCAUGCAAAAAUGCAGCACUUUAAGGCUAGUUACAGCUCUGUGCCCUGCUAUGCCAGACACAAGUGUGCCUCACUACCUGAUACUGUGUUGGUGUAGGGACUGAAGGCUCGGGUACAUGAGGUGUGCAGCACAGACCAUUCAGAGCAGAAUAGUUACAUGUGUCCACGUAUCUAGGAGCAGGUCUGAGAUCUUUGUGUUCGUGUUGCUCGAAUAAAAUCCUGAAGGAUGCUAAAAAUAAGUGCAAUAAUCCUUUGAGGGUUGUUCCCUGGCUUGGGUCAGCUCCUCAGUUUCCUGCUCUAAGAUUGCAGCACUCUAAUGUAUUAGGUAUUUGUAUAAUCAUUGUUAAUAUUUCAUGUAAACUAGUGUAAGCCUCCCUGAAUUAUUCCAGGAUAAUUCUAAUAAUCUGUAUUUGCUUAUAUCUGUACUAUAAACAGAAGGUUUACAGAUCUUAGAAGCUUUGUACAGCGUUGAUGGAUGAUCCAAUGAGGUAAGACAAGUGAUUUUUAAAGGAUUUAGAUGGAAAACAGCUCUUGUUUGCUUUUAAAUAAAACUUAUGUCUAUCUGUUUAAUUGAGAGGUUAUUUUACACCUUUCUCCUGACUGUUGUGAUAGUACUGAUCACAAUUUAUAGUUAUAUAUGUUUAAGUGAAAAUGUAAAUUUUUUACACCACACUUUUGCAGGAAACAUAUCAUAUUCAAUUUCCUUGUAAAAGCUGUAUUUAUGAAUAAGAUGCAAGUAUGUGAAGCAAGUUUUGCCAUUAAUAAAAGUGUGACAAUAUCAUGCUGAUGAUGUAUGUUGUCCUCAGAAUUGCCAGUGGGGAUCAGAACCAAAGAUGUUUCUAGCCUUGCCUAGUCCUGCCUCCAUCAGUGGCCACCAAAAGAUGCUGUGAAACAAAGAAAUUAUACAGGGAUCCCGUUUUUCUUCAGGAAUUUUUUGGCUUUGAACUCGUGGUUUCUUUCAGCCUUUACAAUCCCUUGUGGCUGUGAGUUCCAUGUUUUAAUAAUGUUUUAUGUGGAGAAGGUGCUCUCUUAUUUGUCUCAGAUAUGUUUAUUCAAGAAUUGCUACUGCAUUUGAACACAGUACUAAAAACAUUGUAAGAUGAAGAGUAAUCCACUUCAAAUCAGUUGUUAAACGUCAUGGGAGAGUCUAAUGACAAAAUACCUGUAUAGGCAGAAAAUGUCCCAUGUUUCUUCUGUUCUUAGGCAGAAGAUGUCUGCUCAGGCAGAAACUUGUCCUAAGUUGAUGACAAUGCAACCUUACUUAUUCCUUCUAAAUACAUUUUUGCACAUAAAUACUUUUGUAGACUAGUGUUAAAAGUGUAGAUUAAGUGUUAUAAGUCAGAUUCCAACUGCAGAACGGGGUUGAUUUAUUUUUUCUUACUGGUAUAAAAGCAAAAUCAGUCAAAUGGAAAACCUAUUCCUAGCCCACAUAUGAGUGAGCUACCUCUGGAUAUGGAGCAACCAGCAUCAAUAAAUCUAACAUUGUGAUCAUGUAGAAGAUGGAAAUACUGUCUGGGGUUUGUUGAGAACCAUACUCAUCAUUCUACAUUUUGGUAAUUUUUUUGAUACAUGUUCACAGUUCCAAUUGUAAUUGGAGUAACUGAUCAAAAGGUAUUUUUUAUGGCUAUCAGAGUCUGAAAAUGAGGGAUGGGUCAAAAAAGGCCUAAGCAUAUACAACCUCCCUUAAUUCACAUUAUGGUCAACACCACAGGUUCACUACUUGAAGAUAUUUAGAUGCAGUUCUCCAAGGGGAGUGCACAUAGUGUCUCUGUAACAUCUUUGUGCUCAAUAUUGGCUGUGAACUGUUUCUUUUCCUGAAAGCCAUGUUCCCUUUCCAACCCUUGUUCUUAAGUACACUGAGUUAAGACCUUUGGUGAAAGCAAGAAUUUACUUUAAAGAAUAGGUGUAUUACGUGCUGUAUGUAAUGGACUCCUAAAAUGUAAUUCAAAAGCUAUAGAGAUCAAUUCAAUAGAGACCUCAUCUGGCUUUACACUUGUAAUCACUUCUACAUUUAUUUUCAGAAACAUUAUGCUGUUUGCUAUAAGAUUAAAAAAAUGUGAGAAUUGGCAAAUUGUUCUGAAAGAAGUCUCUUCUUAGAAAUGUGGCUCUUCAGUUCUACCACGCUUACAAGUUCAGUGGUGUUUUCAUCAACUAAAGUUUAUUGUGAAAUAUACUGAAUGUACUUACUAUUGUGGCUAACCAUGUGAAAAUUAUUGUUUUGCAGUAAAAGAGGUUAUGGCACUUACAUUUCUGGGAUCUGCUGAAGCAUGUUUGCUAUCAUUAGUUGCUCUUUUUUUUUCCUGUGUUUUAACGUAUCCCACUGUUGUUUGCCCUUUAUGCAGUUUGAUUUUGGCAACAGAUGAUUAAGUGUAGUUUUGCACUGAUAAAAUUUGAAAAUAUCAUAGACUUCAUUGUUCAAAUGUAUUCUAAGAAAAAUGUGUUGUAAAAAGAAAAAACCCCAAAGCCCAAAAAUUUUUACUUGCAAAAUGGAACAGCUCUAUGUCUGUUUAUGAAUGGUCCUGCUCUCUUCUCUGUGUUCCUUUGCAGUGUUAAAUUACAGAAUGCCAUGCAUGUUUGGUAGUACCAAUACCAUAUGUAUUUGGUAGGAGUGGUAACCAGUUUCUGGAUUUGUAAUGCACUAUAAAGAGAUACUUUAUAAUUCUGUAUCUGUAUGGCAGUGUUAUGCCAAAAAAAAUUGUAGAAACAUAAAAAGCAAUAGUUUAUGUUGCUUACUGCUAUAUUUUAAAUCAUUUGUAAAAUUAAAUACUUGGAUUUCCUUUCAGGUAAAUAUAUUUUUAAUAACAGCAGCCAAAAACUCUGAACUAAUAAAGCUUCUUCAUUUAGCAGCAUUGUUUUAGCAACAUGUACAAAUAUUGUGUAACUCUAAUUAACGUGCAAUUGCUGUUUGGUGCUUGUUUGUAUAGUAGUCUGUAAAUAUAUUAACACUUAAAAGUAGGGAAUUAAA